AAGUCGUAACAAGGUUUCUGUAGGUAAACCUGUAGAAGGAUCAUUAUUGUAGGGCUUUGGCCCUGUUGAGAUAGAACCUUUGCCUUUAUGAGUACUGUCUGUUUCCUUAGCAGGUCCGCCUGCUGAUAGACCCAAAACCAAAACCCUUUUAUUACCUGUAUCAGUCUGAAAAAUUAAACAAAAUUAAAA
rnacentral:misc_RNA from 1 species